rnacentral:rRNA from 1 species
CCUACGGGUGGCAGCAGUGAGGAAUAUUGGUCAAUGGACGGAAGUCUGAACCAGCCAAGUCGCGUGAGGGACGACUGCCCUAUGAGUUGUAAACCGCUUUUAUACGAGGAGAAUAAAUGCUACGUGUAGCAUGAUGCCUGUACCUUAUGAAUAAGCAUCGGCUAACUCCGUGCCAGCAGCCGCGGUAAUACGGAGGAUGCGAGCGUUAUCCGGAUUUAUUGGGUUUAAAGGGUGCGCGGGCGGCGUGUAAAGUUAGAGGUAAAAGGGCGGGGCUCAACCCCGGCCUGGCGCUGAAACUGGCGUGCUAGAGUUGAAUAGCGGUAGGCGGAAUUCGUGGUGUAGCGGUGAAAUGCAUAGAUAUCACGCAGAACCCCGAUUGCGAAGGCAGCAUACCGGCUCCACACUGACGCUGAGGCACGAAAGCGUGGGUAUCGAACAGGAUUAGAUACCCGAGUAGUC